rnacentral:rRNA from 1 species
ACUCCUACUGGAGGCAGCAGUGGGGAAUUUUGGACAAUGGGGGGAACCCUGAUCCAGCAACGCCGCGUGAAUGAAGAAGGCCUUAGGGUUGUAAAGUUCUUUUGUCUAGGAACAAGUGUAUAUUGUGAAUAGUGAUGUACAUUGAGGGUACUAGAAGAAUAAGCACCGGCUAACUACGUGCCAGCAGCCGCGGUAAUAC